UUUGGUGUAUGUACAAAAUCAGUGGCAUCUUCUAGAUAUACUUUGUUUGUUUUUCGUCUGCUUAUGAUUUUGAAUUGCGUUCCCUCCUUCAAAUGUGUACAACAUUGCGCAUCUCUCCUUCCCCCCCUUUUUUUUACACAUAUCAAAAUGCAAACUCCUUUAUACACUACAUAUAAAUACAACAAACUUAUCUUGGAUGAAGUUCAUAUUUCGGCGUCAUAUUACUUUUCCAUCAAGUAUUUUUAAAGUUAACAACCCCAAAAUGUAUUUAUAGCGUACACACGACUGUUCGAGUGGUCCCAGUCAAUACAAAAAUUGCCAUUUAUUGUAUG
rnacentral:lncRNA from 1 species